rnacentral:rRNA from 1 species
UUGAAACCAGGACGCCAGUUUUGGCGGAGCCAUCCUUGGGAUACCACCCUUGUAGUACUGGGACUCUAACCAUAGGCCAUGAAUCUGGUCUUGGGACACUGUCAGGUGGGCAGUUUGACUGGGGCGGUCGCCUCCCAAAAGGUAACGGAGGCGCUCAAAGGUUCUCUCAGUACGGUCGGAAAUCGUACGUAGAGUGUAAAGGCAAAAGAGAGCUUGAUUGCAAGACAUACAGGUCGAGCAAGGAUGAAAAUCGGACUUAGUGAUCCGGUGGUUCUGCGUGGAAGGGCCAUCGCUCAACGGAUAAAAGCUACCCUGGGGAUAACAGGCUUAUCUCCCCCAAGAGUCCACAUCGACGGGGAGGUUUGGCACCUCGAUGUCGGCUCAUCACAUCCUGGGGCUGUAGUAGGUCCCAAGGGUUGGGCUGUUCGCCCAUUAAAGUGGUACGCGAGCUGGGUUCAGAACGUCGUGAGACAGUUCGGUCCCUAUCCGUCGCAGGCGUAGGAAAUUUGAGAAGACCUGUCCUUAGUACGAGAGGACCGGGAUGGACGUACCUCUGGUGUACCAGUUGUUCUGCCAAGGGCAUGGCUGGGUAGCUAUGUACGGAAUGGAUAAGCGCUGAAAGCAUCUAAGCGCGAAGCCAACUUCAAGAUAAGAUUUCCCACCGCAAGGGUAAGACCCCAGAAAGACUAUCUGGUUGAUAGGUCGAAGGUGUAAGUGCAGCAAUGUAUUUAGCUUAUCGAUACUAAUAGGUCGAGGACUUGACCAA